rfam:Ciona savignyi cont_62995, whole genome shotgun sequence.
GCUUAUCACCAUUCCAGAUUGACAUGAAUUACCCGAUCUCGUCUGAUCUCGGAAGUCAAGCAAUCUCGGGCUUGGUUAGUACGUGGAUGGGUGACCGCUUGGGAAUACCAAGUGUGAUAAGCA